rnacentral:rRNA from 1 species
UACGGGGGGGGCAAGCGUUGUUCGGAAUUACUGGGCGUAAAGGGCUCGUAGGCGGCCAACUAAGUCAGACGUGAAAUCCCUCGGCUUAACCGGGGAACUGCGUCUGAUACUGGAUGGCUUGGAUUUGGGAGAGGGAUGCGGAAUUCCAGGUGUAGCGGUGAAAUGCGUAGAUAUCUGGAGGAACACCGGUGGCGAAGGCGGCAUCCUGGACCAAUAUUGACGCUGAGGCGCGAAAGCUAGGGGAGCAAACGGG